AACGAACGCUGGCGGCAGGCCUAACACAUGCAAGUCGAGCGCCCCGCAAGGGGAGCGGCGGACGGGUGAGUAACGCGUGGGAACGUGCCUCUUGCUACGGAAUAGCCUCGGGAAACUGGGAGUAAUACCGUAUGUGCCCUACGGGGGAAAGAUUUAUCGGCAAGAGAUCGGCCCGCGUUGGAUUAGGUAGUUGGUGGGGUAAUGGCCUACCAAGCCGACGAUCCAUAGCUGGUUUGAGAGGAUGAUCAGCCACACUGGGACUGAGACACGGUCCCGACUCCUACGGGGGGCAGCAGUGAGGAAUAUUCGGCAAUGGGGGCAACCCUGACCGAGCAACGCCGCGUGGAGGAUGACGGUUUUCGGAUUGUAAACUCCUUUUCUCAGGGAAGAGCGAGGACGGUACCUGGGGAAUAAGUCACGGCUAACUACGUG
rnacentral:rRNA from 1 species